rnacentral:rRNA from 1 species
GAUGAACGCUGGCGGCGUGCCUAAUACAUGCAAGUCGAGCGAACGGACGAGAAGCUUGCUUCUCUGAUGUUAGCGGCGGACGGGUGAGUAACACGUGGAUAACCUACCUAUAAGACUGGGAUAACUUCGGGAAACCGUAGCUAAUACCGGAUAAUAUUUUGAACCGCAUGGUUCAAAAGUGAAAGACGGUCUUGCUGUCACUUAUAGAUGGAUCCGCGCUGCAUUAGCUAGUUGGUAAGGUAACGGCUUACCAGGGCAACGAUGCAUAGCCGACCUGAGAGGGUGAUCGGCCACACUGGAACUGAGACACGGUCCAGACUCCUACGGGAGGCAGCAGUAGGGAAUCUUCCGCAAAGGGCGAAAGCCUGACGGAGCAACGCCGCGUGAGUGAUGAAGGUCUUCGGAUCGUAAAACUCUGUUAUUAGGGAAGAACAUAUGUGUAAGUAACUGUGCACAUCUUGACGGUACCUAAUCAGAAAGCCACGGCUAACUACGUG